GCCAGCCGCGCGUGGCUCCGGAAACAGCCGAAGGCCGAGCGAGCGCCGAGCACAGCCGAGCGCAGCCUGCAGGCCGGAAGAAGCGGCGCGGCGGCCGCUUGAAAAGCUAGCUGACCCAGGGGCGGCCACAGGAGCUCUGGCCCGCUGAGGCUGGCGAUGAGGCCGCAGGGAGGGUUACUGCGUGCUUCUGACAGACGAUUUUUAAAGUCAGGGCUUGAAAGAACAAACAAAACCUGGGGAAGAGUCAGGAAGACACUGCCGGAAAUCGUGGUAUCCAUAGAGACGCUAUCGGAAGUUGGGGUUGCUAGGAAGCCGCGGCGCGUCUGCUAAGCUGCAAAUGGCUGAAGUCCCGGAGGAUUAUGAUUCCGGCCCAGAUGAAGAUGGAGAGCCGGAGCCUGAGAGGCCUGAACUGCCUGGACUUCAUAAAUUGUAUGAAAAUGCCGAACCAGACACCAUGGCAAAGGCAGACUCGAAGCUACCAGCAGAGAUUUACCAAGAGCCACAGCCAGAGACCGAGGAAGAGGACUUCAAAGAGGGGGAGCCAGAGAGUGCUAAGAACGUGCAGCUGAAACCUGGCGGGACGUCCCAGGAAGGAAUUGCCAAGGAGUCCAAGAGAGUCGUACCAAGCGAAACUGAACCAGGGAUACACCAAGAGGUAAAGUCGGAAACAUCCAGAGAGAUGGGAGAGUUUUUCAAAGAUUUGGAGGCCCCUAUGGAUGAAACGCAUAAAGAGUCAGACCUAGAGCCACCAGAGGAGGCUAAACCAAAUGUUACAGAGGAUGUGUUCCUAGAGUCAGCUAUGGAAACAGAUCCAGAUCCAGUGCCACCAACGGAAACCAUGUCUGAGGUUUCGGGGGCCACAGUCAGAGAGAUAAAUUUAGAAUUACUAGAGGAGGAGACUGAACCGGGGGUUCCAGAGGAAUCACUUAGAGUGCAACAUGAAGAGACAGGUCUAGAGCCUCCAGAGCAGACCAAACCAGAUUUUCCAAGUGAGAAACUAGGAGAAUCACUUGAAGAGACAGAUCUUCAGCCACCAAAGAUGACCAAACCAGAGAUUCCAGAGGAGACACAAAGAGAGUCAACUGAGAAGAAAAGGACAGAGCCACCCGAGCAGGCUAGACUGGAAUUUCCGGAGAAGGAACCAAGAAAGUCUAGUGAGGAGGCAGGUCUAGAGCCUCCAGAAGAGACUCAACCAGAGGUUCCAGAGGAGAUGCAAAGAAAGGCAACUGAGGAGAAAGGGACAGAACUACCUGAGUGGACUAAACCAGACUUUCCAGACCACAAGCCAAGAAAGUCUACUGAUGAGAACGUUCCUGAGCCACUAGAAGAGAUCAAAUUAGAGUUUCCUGAGGAAGAAUCAAGAAAACCAAAUGAGGAAACAAUUCUAGAACAAUCAGAAAUGAUGAAACCAGAAAGUCCAGAAGAGAUAAGAAAGUCAAAUGAGGAAAAAAAUCCACAGCCACCAGAGGAGACUGGUCCAGUGCUACCACAGGAGAUCAACCCACAAGUUGAAGAGAAAACACAAACAAAGCCAACUGAGGAGAAAAUUCUAGAGUUACCAGAUGAAACCAAACCGAGAGAGACACAUGUAGAAUUUUCCAAGGAAGAAAGGCCAGAACCAAUAAAGUCUAAGUAUUCUGUAAGAAACGAUGAGCUAGAGCACCGUGAGCCUAAAAGAGGAAAGUUGUCACUAAGUGACGAAUUUAGAAAAGAAUAUUACGCAUUAGGAUCUCUCAGAGAAAGUGAAGAAUCAGUUGGUACACAUGAUGAGUUUCUGCAACCACUCCAAAAAUUGCUUAAUGUCAGUGAAGAAUGCUCAUACUCAGAUCCGUCAGAGUCUCAGACAGAAUUAAGUGAGUUCGUUCAUGAAAAGGAAGUUGUAGAUUUGUCCCAAGAGUUGAAGGAACGGGUCUCUGAAGAUGACAAAACCCAGCCAGAAAAAGGGACUGAGUUACAAUUUGAGCAUCUUAAUUGGGAUCCAGAGGAAGUUGCAGAGUGGAUUAGCCAGCUAGGCUUCCCUCAAUACAAGGUAUACAAAAAUAAGAUGUUUUGAAAUCACAUGCUGUCAUCCGUCUACUUCUUAUUCCUUCUAACCUGGCCUGAGCUCUUACCUCUUUACCGGAAGGAGUAUCAAAAAGUCCUGGACUGUGGUAGAGGAGUGUUUUAUCACAAACUUCAUCAGUGGCCGAAAACUCAUUCACGUCAACUGCUCAAACCUCCCUCAGAUGGGGAUAACAAACUUUGAGGACAUGAAGGCAAUUUCUCGGCAUACGCGGGAGCUCCUGGAAAUUGAAGAGCCAUUAUUCAAACGCUCCAUCAGCCUUCCCUAUAGGGAUAUUAUCGGCUUAUAUUUAGAGCAAAAAGGUCAUACUGGGAUAAAAUCUGAUUCCUUGACUUUAUCUGAAUUGGUCAAAGCAGCAGGAUUACAGGAUUAUGCUCCAGAAAUAACUGCCCCUGAAGAGAAUGAGGAAUUACCUUGCACUGAACCAUAGGGGAAAUCCACUUCACAGAGCUUGAAAGAUCAAACUAAAUUACUUGAGGGAAGAGG